rnacentral:rRNA from 1 species
UACGGGGGGGGCAAGCGUUGUUCGGAAUUACUGGGCGUAAAGGGCGCGUAGGCGGCCUUCUAAGUCAGACGUGAAAUCCCUAGGCUCAACCGAGGAACUGCGUCUGAUACUGGAAGGCUUGAAUCCGGGAGAGGGAUGUGGAAUUCCAGGUGUAGCGGUGAAAUGCGUAGAUAUCUGGAGGAACACCGGUGGCGAAGGCGGCAUCCUGGACCGGUAUUGACGCUGAGGCGCGAAAGCUAGGGGAGCAAACGGG